CUGGCGUGAAGGAGUUGGGUCUCCCUCCCCCGGCCCAGUUGCUGGCUGGGCUGGGGGAGGGGAAAGCCACGUGGCCCAUCUACGAUCCAUGGACGGUUUCCUGGUGAUACAGAGGCUGCAUUGCAGGGGGAAGCGGAGGCUCGGAGCCAAGAGUGUUUGGUGUUGAGACCCCUCGGCCCCAGGGGGUGUAGAAGAAAUGGGGGGGACAAAGGUCCCAGAGAUGAGAGUGUGCUCUGCUUGGAACGAGAUGAGGCAUUCUUAAAAGGCCCACCCUGAAAGCAGGCCUCUGCCCCAUCCCAUGCCUGGUGGUGAGAGCACCUUGGCAUGGAAAGGAGAUGUCAUGAGACAGCAGGACUCCGGGCGGUGUGCUAAUUGUGACAAGAAGUCCGUGGCACAAGGAAGGACUCUGUCUACUCUUCAUGAGCGGAAGAUUUGAUUUUCUAAAGGGUGGUGCCAGACCGAGUGUGGAUAAUUUUGGGAAAUGAAUUGUACUGGGAUCUGGAGGAGGAGGGGGAAGUGGUUCUGUGUAGUUUUCAUUCUCUUUGUGUUUCCUUUUUUUUUGUGUGUGUAGUUUAGUAAUUGUGUGUGUAGUUUAGUUAAUAAACUUUUCUUUAUGUUUAA